rnacentral:misc_RNA from 1 species
UCAAACUUGGUCAUUUAGAGGAAGUAAAAGUCGUAACAAGGUUUCCGUAGGUGAACCUGCGGAAGGAUCAUUAUCGAAUUCACUCGCAGCUGUUGCAUUCACUUGCACGCCGCGUAUGUCUUCAUUCACACCUGUGCACCUAUGCGGGCGUCAGCCUGCUCUUUUUUACACCUUUUUGUAUGGCCUCGAAUUUUAUUCGGUCGCUCUGUGAUGGAGUGAUCGUGAAAACAAAUACAACUUUCAGCAACGGAUCUCUUGGCUCUCCCAUCGAUGAAGAACGCAGC